rnacentral:rRNA from 1 species
UACGUAGGCAGCGAGCGUUGUUCGGAUUCAUUGGGCGUAAAGGGUGCGUAGGUGGCGCGAUAAGUCGGGUGUGAAAUCUCGGAGCUUAACUCCGAAAUUGCAUUCGAUACUGCCGUGCUCGAGGACUGGAGAGGAGACUGGAAUUCAUGGUGUAGCAGUGAAAUGCGUAGAGAUCAUGAGGAAGACCAGUGGCGAAGGCGGGCCUCUGGACAGUUCCUGACACUGAGGCACGAAGGCCAGGGGAGCAAACGGG